rnacentral:rRNA from 1 species
UACGUAGGGGGCAAGCGUUGUUCGGAAUUACUGGGCGUAAAGCGUGCGUAGGUGGUUCGUUAAGUCUGAUGUGAAAGCCCUGGGCUCAACCUGGGAAUGGCAUUGGAAACUGGCGACCUAGAGUGCGGUAGAGGGUAGUGGAAUUCCCGGUGUAGCAGUGAAAUGCGUAGAGAUCGGGAGGAACAUCUGUGGCGAAGGCGACUGCCUGGACCAGCACUGACACUGAGGCACGAAAGCGUGGGGAGCAAACAGG